rnacentral:rRNA from 1 species
GAUGAACGUUGGCGGUGUGCCUAAUACAUGCAAGUCGAACGGAGAUUGUAGCAAUACGGUCUUAGUGGCGAACGGGUGAGUAACGCGUUGGUGAUCUGCCUCGAAGUGUGGAAUAACGAUUCGAAAGAAUCGCUAAUACCGCAUAGUCUCUCUUUUUCCAGAAAUUUGAGAGUAAAGGAUUUAUUCGCUUUGAGAGGAGCCUGCGUCCCAUCAGCUUGUUGGUGAGGUAAAAGCUCACCAAGGCGACAAUCUUUAGCUGGUCUGAGAGGAUGAUCAGCCACACUGGGACUGAGACACGGCCCAGACUCCUACGGGAGGCAGCAGUGGGGAAUAUUGGACAAUGGGCGAAAGCCUGAUCCAGCAAUGCCGCGUGAGUGAUGAAGGCCUUAGGGUUGUAAAGCUCUUUUACCAGGGAUGAUAAUGACAGUACCUGGAGAAUAAGCUCCGGCUAACUCCGUG